ACCUUAGACCUCACUCCAGUGGAAACACAACUCUGCUGGACGAACUUGCUUAGUAUAGAAUGUGUGGCUUGUGUGGAAAGGACUAAUGAGCAAUUCGUUCCGCAUGAAAUCCUCCAAUCUAUAGAGCUAAUGUUUUUUAAGAAAAACAACCUAACCCCAGACAUCAUCAUUAGACUCGUUCCCUCUUGUGUACCGGGUAGUCAGGCCUAACCCUAAAUCUAGUCAUCUAGAAAGCAAGAUUGUUCGCUCUGCCAUGGUUACCUUAACAGCAGCAGCAACCAGCACCCAUUGCUCAACAUGGGCCACUUUAUAUCAACAUUUAGUGUCUGGGCUGCAGAUUUAUCUUCUACCUGCCUUCCCCGCUGACUUUAAGAUCCAUCAAUGGAUUUAUAGGGGCAUCAGCACCCUAGAAGCACAUUAAUUGGGUGUAGGAAUUCUAGCUCCAGCAGAGACAACCAGACGGUCAUUUGGAAUCACCACCUGACUUACCCUGCUCAGCACGUCCAGCCUCCAAUUUCAUGUGCCUGAUCUCUGAAACCUGGUUCCAUUGACAUGGCUCUUGGUUCAUCGCUGGUCCUGGUUCACUUUGCUCAUGGCUUAAACAAUUUCCCCUCCUAUCUGUAGCUCUACACUAGACUUCUCCGGGUCCUUAACAUCUGUCUGAAAGGGAAUGGGAUGAGAAUGGGUCAGACUACCAGCUGGUGUCCUUGUGCUUCUGAAUUCUUGGAUCUUGUAAACUCUCGUGCUUCUCCAGCAUAAGUGACCCUUCAGUUGCUCCCAUUUUGACUCCAGAGUAAGAAACUUCUCUCUUGGAUGGCAGGGCUUCAUGUCCUAUUGGCUUCUGGUUCUGGCUCUCGUUAGGUCCUCAACUAUCUCUUCAUUUCAUCUACCUGUAUGUAUCUUCAGUUGUAACACUAUCUACCUUUCCUCCACAGCUAUCGCCCCUCUGCCUUACUUAGGGUAACAGCAGUGCUGUUUGGCACUUAAUUUUAGGGUUUAGCACAGCUUGUUUGACAAACCACAUCUUAUCCUUAUUUGGCUGUUUAUCUGCAGGUUUUUUUCAUCAGGCAACACUGAUGCUGGCCCUUUUGGGGUCACCAGUAAAUAAACAAUUUCAUGCCUUUUGAGGUGUCUUAAGGCAUCAUUCUUUUCCAAAUAGAAUUCCACACCACAGUGGCACAGUCUGCACCAGUUCUGCAUGUGGUCAAACUCUCUCCAGCAGCAACGUGUUUGUACAGUACCUAGCACAGUGGGGCCCUGAUCUCUUCUGGGGCUACUGGAAUACAAAUACACAAACAGUACAUUAAAAGAACAUCCAUAAGGUUCCAAAGUGUAGAACUCAAAAGAUAGGAAGUGCCAGAAUUAAGGUUGCCUGGGCAACUUUAAUUGUUGUUGUGCAUUAUGAUAGUCUUUAAUUACAUGAUCACAUAGUGUUGUACCCCAGUACCCCCUUGCCUCAUUCAGUGCAUAGGAUGGAAGGUGCUCACUUUGGCCAUAUCUGCACAAACACUUACCAUGCUGCAUGCUGUCCAUGUAGACCCUGCUGCUGUGCACUAAAAGUUCCUAAGUGUGCAUUGACAAUAGAGAAUUUUUAACUGCACAUUGUCCAAACAGUGAUCUGAAGACAAAAUUUAUUAAUUCCUCAUUGUCUUGUCUGUGGCGCACGUCACUAUAGAAUCGGAGUGUGUCACAAACAUUCAUUUAUUUUCACACACCCAAAUGAGUGAGUAUUCUCCCCAUUUUACAGAUGGAGAACGGAAACAGAGAUUAAAGUCAAAUGUUCGCUACUUUUGGGUGCCCAGUUUGACACUUUAAGAUCUGACUUUUCAGAGUAGUGAGCAUUACGUAGCCUGGUAUGUGCUCAAAGCACAGCUCCCAUUGACUUCUGUUGCAGUGGUGACGAGUUCUGCACCUCUGCAAAUCAGACAAGUCCAACAAAGCUAGUAAUAUAUAGCCACUGUUUCAAAUUCUGACUCCACCUAUCCUAAGAAAAUAACACCCUCAGACUUUCUCUUCAAUUGUUGUUAAAGAACUUAGCUGCUGGUGAGGUGCUAUGAUAAUACAAUUAAUGAUAAUAUGGACGAUUGUUGUUAGCAUCAUUGCAGAAAGCAUGACUGAGACAUUGUCUUAGCCAUGCUAGCUACUAGACUGCCUCUUUAGAGGAGCUGAGGGGCUGGGGAAGCCACUGCCGACAUGUCUGCAACAUUGUCUUUCUAACCUGGAGGGGAAUGUUAAGCACGGAAGAAAAUGUAGCUCAUCUAGACAAUUCCCCACAGUUAAAUUGGCAGCUGCAUCCCAAUGGUGUGCAAGUUGUUACACACUUGUCCUGGAAACUAGCAGCAAACUGAAGGAUAAAUAUAUACAUGAAGGGGGAAAAUACAAAUGCUGCUUCUUCUCUGUUAAAUUGUUCCACAUCUGAUUAAAGGAUCAAAAGCUACGUAGUCUGACAAACUCCACACUUAACUGUUGUUUAACUUGCAAACGAAGACCCAAGAUUUAUAUGUUUGUGUCAUGAGUCGUAAAUCUAGCUGUUCUCCUGGUCUUCUAUUAUAGACAAAUGGCUUAUAGAGGAAAUUGUAGUGGUUUGAAUAAGUCUAGGUUUCAGAAGUCAGUCCUCUUAGGUCAGACAGGCAAGAAACAUCUAUAAUAAAUUUGUUUGAAGAAUCUGGCACUAGAGCUUUUACUUAAUUCACAUUUUCCCCUUUGAAAGUAAAGAAUAUGUAUAUAUAUUAGACACUAAAUUCAGACUCCUGCACUUGUGCGAUUAAAUGGGGUAUCAGCUUGCUGUUGCCUUGCAGUGAGGAAACAAAUCAAUUUCAUGUUAAUCUAAAUCUAAUUUUUUUUUCACUCCCCACAAUAAAACCCAAUGAGAUGCAUCGUCCCAGUUUUAAGGGGGAAAUGGCUGUAAACACCAGGAUCCUUUAAUCUGUAGAACUACCAUAUGUAUGGAGGCUAGAACUCACUACUUGGUUUGUAUUUUGGAUAUGACUAGAGUCAAAUCUUCCCUAUAGUGGAAACUUCACAAGUCCUGUCCCUCCUUUUCCAGCCAAAACUGGUGGCUGACACAUUUUAGGCCUCUAAGCAUGGUUCAUGUACAUCAAUACUUAGCCUGCUGUCUACAGUAAGGCCCUGAUCCUGCAAUUAGCAUCAUGUGAGUGCAAGCUGCAUUAAGGUUAUUGCAGACUUUGGUCCUAAGACAGCCUGAAUGCAACAAGGGCAUAUUGCCCCCAGCUAUUGGCCUUAAGAAAGAACUAUGCCAAACAUUAGGCCCAACAAUUUGUGAAGCAAGUUUUUGAUCCAGCCAUUGAAAGCAGGAUUUGGACAAUAGACCUCAAAUACAGGUUAAAAUUGAGUGUGCUUUAUGUGAUUGUCUUAAGGAGGCAAAAUAAAUACUCAUUGCAUUAUUUGUUGCAGUACCAUUGCUUGUGCCAGAUGCUUCUUGUCUAGUCCAAGGAAAUAAAAUAUAUAGCCUGGCUACUGAUUAGCAAACUACCUUCAGUUUUUCAAGAGUCUUAUAAUAUAAACCGCUCAGGGUGGGACUGUAGUCUUUGUUCAAUGCCAACUCACCAAGCCUUUAAUAUUUUGAGAAAGUGACUUUUGUUUAUGGUAGAAAGUCAUGAAAUGGCACUGGUGAAACCAGGCAAAAAGUUAGAGCCUGUUGCUUUAACUUCAGACAAAAUAGUCUCCUAUUUUACAGCCUCCUGCAUCUGUUUGUGCCAGUUCCCGUAAAUACUGAGUGAGUACAGUCACUUUUUCAACUUGCCAAGAAGAGAGUCAGUUUUUGGAGCAGUGUGUCACAAGUUCUAUUCUUGAUGCUGCAUGUAGGCAGUUGGCUGCUGACCAAGGUGUCUAUCUGUAUAAAGCAGCCACUGAUGUAACGAGGUCAGGAGUGACCAAGCAUUAUAGCUAUCAGCUGUUUGGACUCAUCUCAGCUCUUAGUGGACAAACAGACAUACAUAGUUAAAAACUAACCCACAGCAAAUUUUACCACUGAUCAUUGGCCCUCCACUGCGAAAGACCAGUAAGGGCCACAGACUGCAUGGACUGUUGAGAGACUAAGCAACCCCUCUGGCCCCUAGAGCUGGUCGUUGGAACGUUGGUGGUGAGUGAAUGUGGGGAAGUUGCCUAUCCUGCUGAUCACUGGCACUUGCUUAGAAUUUGGGCCAAAAGCAGUCUUGGGACACCUCCCGAGAGCAUGCUAACAAUCGGUGUAGUGGGGUGAUGCCAAGCCCUGCCAUAUACGACAAUCUGCUGCAUUCUAAUGACAAACUUCCUUGCUCUUCAGUAGUAUCUUUAUGAGGCAGUGAUACAUCCUCCUGGAAUGGAUGCCCCUUAGAGACAUAAACAGUAACUCACUGCACCCUUAAAUAUGGAGUAAUGUAUUACUCCACGGGACUUACCGACACACUAUUCUGUUGCAAUACUUUAUACCUUCUCCUUUUCUUUUGUUUUCCUCUUUCCUUUUUCCCAUCCUGUACACUCUCUCCAUCUGUUAUAUGCUACAUACUGUUAGUGUUUCUCUUCUCAGGCUUCUACUUCAUGCAUUCAUUCUGUUUUUCCCCAUGUUUUUAUUGAUAUUCUCAUUCCUGCUUUCUUCCUCUUUCUAAUCAGUGUCUCAUCCUCAUCAGUCGUCUCUAUUCCCUAGUGUCCAUCCAUCACCCUCCCUCUGCCCCAAAAAAUCCAUAUCCCUUACGUUCGCCUGUAGGAUAUUGAAGCAUCAUUCUUUUCUACCACCAGCCUAGCUGCUUUUCUGGCCCAGUCACUAUCUGCUCAACACACAGUGUGCCAACCUUGCUCCUUCACAUGCAGAGGAAGGGAGCUGGGGUAUGCUGCAUUCAGCACAUGGGGUAGCCACAACUAGGGAAGAACACCACUUCGUUUUAUAUUUUUAUGCAACUCCAUUGACUUCUUUUCUGCCUUAACCACUGCAUAGAAUCAGGCAAGUCUGGCAUCGUCCGUGGCCACUAACUUUCUCUUUAAGAGUAUGGGUUUCCUAUUCAGGUAGAUCUGACACAACUAGAAGAAAGAAUUUUUACAGCCUCUGUGGAAUCUGUAUUCGUUUUUGCAUUGCAGUCAUUCUUACCACACCACUUGUUAGAACUGUUCAGCAUUUAUCAGCCACUAGUUAUACAUCUUCGACUUUCUUCUCUGACAGGCUGCAUUACUCUGACACAGUCCUCUUGAAUACAACAGGGAUCAGUGCAGCAAUUUAGCUUAAUUGCUUAUGGAGGUGACUGCAGGAUUGUAAUGUCAGAAUACUGCUAAAUCCUAGGGGAUUUCUUGGCAUUUUGCUGCCACAAUAAGGUCAUAGUUGUCAUAGUGGCUUAGUACAACCACAAAAUGUUCUUACACUUAUUUAUGUAGCUUGAAAAAUGUAA